rnacentral:rRNA from 1 species
UUGAAACUCAAAGGAAUUGACGGGGACCCGCACAAGUAGCGGAGCAUGUGGUUUAAUUCGAAGCAACGCGAAGAACCUUACCUAAGCUUGACAUCCUUUUGACCUCUCCCUAAUCGGAGAUUUCCCUUCGGGGACAAAAGUGACAGGUGGUGCAUGGUUGUCGUCAGCUCGUGUCGUGAGAUGUUGGGUUAAGUCCCGCAACGAGCGCAACCCUUGCCUUUAGUUGCCAGCAUUAAGUUGGGCACUCUAGAGGGACUGCCAGGGAUAACCUGGAGGAAGGUGGGGAUGACGUCAAAUCAUCAUGCCCCUUAUGCUUAGGGCUACACACGUGCUACAAUGGGUGGUACAGAGGGCAGCCAAGUCGUGAGGCGGAGCUAAUCCCUUAAAGCCAUUCUCAGUUCGGAUUGUAGGCUGAAACUCGCCUACAUGAAGCUGGAGUUACUAGUAAUCGCAGAUCAGAAUGCUGCGGUGAAUGCGUUCCCGGGUCUUGUACACACCGCCCGUCACACCACGGAAGUUGGGGGCGCCCGAAGCCAGAUAGCUAACCGUUUGGAAGCGUCUGUCGAAGGUGAAAUCAAUAACUGGGGUGAAGUCGUAACAAGGUAGCC